AGUCGUGCGGAGAGCACAGAGCGAGCUAUUCUUUCGCCUUAUACUAAAGAAUACCUUGUGCUCGCCACUUAUAGCGGCAUACGCCUAGUUUUGGAGGCCUAUUUCCUUUUCCGGAAUGG
rfam:Gossypium raimondii chromosome 11, whole genome shotgun sequence.